GUAGGGAAUAUUGGACAAUGGGCGAAAGCCUGAUCCAGCCAUGCCGCGUGAUAGAUGAAGGCCCUCUGGGUUGUAAAUAUCUUUUAUCUGGGAAGAAACUCCUCUAUUCUUAGAGGCCUGACGGUACCAGAGGAAUAAGCACCGGCUAACUCCGUGCCAGCAGCCGCGGUAAUACGGAGGGUGCAAGCGUUAUCCGGAUUCACUGGGUUUAAAGGGUGCGUAGGCGGGUUGAUAAGUCAGUGGUGAAAGCUCCGGGCUUAACUUGGAAACUGCCAUUGAUACUGUCAGUCUUGAAUGUCGUAGAGGUAAGCGGAAUGUUGCAUGUAGCGGUGAAAUGCUUAGAUAUGUUACAGAACACCAAUUGCGAAGGCAGCUUACUAUGCGAUAAUUGACGCUAAGGCACGAAAGCGUGGGGAGCAAACAGGAUUAGAUACCCCGGUAGUCC
rnacentral:rRNA from 1 species